AAACUCCCACAGGCCUAAGUCGCUGGCCCCCGCUGCUGAGCCUAAAACGCCCCUUCCCGAAGCUUUCGCCCCCUCCGUAAUGGCGGAAAGCUUGGGUUUUUUGAGAGAAGCCCUCGAACCAUAGGGUUCUUCUUCUCUACUCCUCACCCUCCCUCUCCUCCACCCUUCUCCAUCGCAAUGGCGAGAAACCAAGACGUCCGAUUCAUGUCUUCCUCCAUUAAAAUUCCUCGCUCUUCGAUCGCCCACCGGCCCGUUCCCUUCCUCUCCACCCUUCCCUUCGCUCGCCACCACCUCUCCUUCCAUCUCGACCGAGCUAGAAAUGCGAUACAUGGAUUCGUGGCAUCUCUUCCCAACCGAUGGAGGCCCAGCUUUCCCUACUCGUCCUCCCUCGCCGUGGCGCGGGCGGAGGCGGAGGCGAACCCUCGGCGGCACGGGAAGGAGGACGAGGAGCGGGUCCUCAUCAGCGAGGUGCUGAUCCGGAACAAGGACGGGGAGGCCUUGGAGCGGGCGGACCUGGAGGCGGUCGCCACCGGCGCGCUGAAGUCGUGCCGGCCCAACUCGGCGCUCACGGUGCGGGAGGUGCAGGAGGACGUGCACCGGAUCAUCGAGAGCGGGCACUUUUGCUCCUGUAUGCCCGUUGCCGUCGACACCCGGGAUGGGAUCCGGCUGAUCUUUCAGGUAGAACCUAAUCAGGAGUUCCAAGGAUUGAUUUGUGAGGGUGCAAAUGUUCUUCCUUUAAAGUUUUUGGAGGAUGCAUUUCGUGAUGGAUAUGGAAAAAUAGUCAACAUAAGGCAUCUGGAUCAAGUGAUUAAAUCCAUCAAUGGCUGGUAUUACGAACGUGGACUAUCUGGUUUGGUUUCAUAUGCCGAGAUUCUUUCAGGAGGAAUCCUUAGGUUGCAAGUCUCUGAAGCCGAGGUUAAUAACAUCGUCAUUCAGUUUCUUGAUAGAAGGACUGGUGAACCAACUACAGGGAAGACAAGGCCAGAGACUAUACUUCAACAACUGACAACGAAGAAAGGACAGGUAUACAGUAGACUACAAGGAAAAAGAGAUGUUGAGACAAUACUGACAAUGGGAAUUAUGGAAGAUGUUACAAUUAUUCCUCAGCCCACUGGAGAUCCACGCAAGGUUGAUUUAGUAAUGAAUCUUGUUGAGCGUCCUAGUGGUGGUUUCUCUGCAGGUGGUGGAAUUUCAUAUGGGAUAACAAAUGGCCCUCUUGCAGGAUUGAUUGGCAGCUUUGCAUAUUCGCAUAGGAAUGUUUUUGGUAGGAACCAAAAACUCAACUUUUCACUGGAAAGGGGGCAAAUUGAUUCAAUAUUUCGCAUAAAGUAUACUGACCCAUGGAUUGAAGGAGACAAUAAGAGGACAUCUAGAGCAAUCAUGAUUCAGAAUUCUAGGACUCCAUCGCUUGUUCAUGGGAAUAUCGUAUCUGCUCGUGGUGGCCUCACAAUUGCACGAGUUACUGCUGGAAUUGAGUAUAGUCGGCCUUUCAGGCCCAAGUGGAGUGGAACACUUGGGCUUAUUUUUCAGCAUGCUGGUGCUCGUGAUGAUAGAGGCAAUCCAAUAAUCAGAGACAUUUACAACAGUCCAUUAACUGCAAGUGGCAAUGGUUAUGAUGACAUGCUAAUUGCAAAGUUUGAAGGUGUCUAUACAGAUUCUGGUGAUCAUAGCUCCUCAACAUUUGUGUUCAACAUGGAACAAGGUCUUCCUGUUCUUCCUGAGUGGUUAUGUUUCAAUCGAGUGAGUGCUCGUGCUAGGCAAGGAUAUGAGAUUGGGCCUGCUCGACUUGUUUUAAGUGUAUCUGGAGGCCAUGUUAUUGGAAAUUUUCCGCCUCAUGAAGCAUUCGCCAUUGGAGGGAUAAACAGUGUCAGGGGUUAUGAAGAAGGUGCUGUGGGUUCUGGUCGCUCAUACAUGGUUGGCAGUGGAGAAAUCUCAUUUCGCAUGUUUGGGCCAGUAGAAGGCGUGCUAUUUGCGGACUAUGGAAAUGAUCUUGGUUCAGGCCCUACAGUGCGUGGAUGUUUCUAAUUCAUGUAUUUGUGGUAUUGUAUCACACCAAUAGUGGCAUUUCAGGAGUUGGUAAUAUUUUCUGUAACAAUAACUAAUGAAGGUGAUCCAGCUGGAGCAAGGGGAAAACCUGGGAAUGGUCGUGGCUUUGGGGCUGGCAUUCGUGUAGACUCACCCCUAGGGCCCCUGCGCCUAGAAUAUGGGUUUAAUGACAAAUUAGCAAGGAGGUUCCACUUUGGAGUUGGCUAUCGCAACUAAUUCCUUCCUUUUCUCCCUUGGCCCGUUGGAUCUAUGCUAAAUUCUUUUUAUGGUGUUAGUUUUUCUAGCGAUUCAGGUAUCGGUAUCACAUCUUCAGGAAAAUACAUCGCAUUUUAUUUUUUUCUCCUCCUCCAGGGCUGUAUGAGGACAUGUUUUACAGUAUAUAUCGCAGGCUUUCUUUCAUUGGCCUUGUACGAGCAUGAAGCUGUUUUUAUUGCAGAGUUUUGUUCCUAGAGCAAGACAUGAGAAGGUUUAUAAUGUAUAGAUAGAUAUUUCAAAUUUUGGAUCAUGUACCUUACACAGCUCGCAAUCAUAUUUAAGAUGAACUUAGAAAAUUUUGGAUCA